rnacentral:rRNA from 1 species
UACAGAGGUGGCAAGCGUUGUUCGGAAUUACUGGGCGUAAAGGGCGCGUAGGCGGCCUACUAAGUCAGACGUGAAAUCCCCCGGCUUAACCUGGGAACUGCGUCCAAGACUGGGAGGCUUGAAUCCGGGAGAGGGAUGCGGAAUUCCAGGUGUAGCGGUGAAAUGCGUAGAUAUCUGGAGGAACACCGGUGGCGAAGGCGGCAUCCUGGACCGG